GAGAGAUUGCUAAAUGGUAAGAGCACUUGUCUUAAAAGCAUGAUGACAAGAGUUCAAACCCUAAUCAUUCA
rnacentral:tRNA from 1 species